rnacentral:lncRNA from 1 species
GGAAACUACAACAACCCAAUCCAGGUAGAACUACAAAUGGCCCAGACCCUUCAACAAGGAAGAUUUGAGUCACUCCACCAGGUAUUUAAUAAGAGUGAUUGACCAAUGAACAAGAGAAAAAGACAAAAUUCAACUCACUGCCUACCACCACCUUCCAGCCAUCCCUCCUAUACCUAUUCUAGAAUAUAGUGUGAACCUGAAAAUUGGAAGGGGAAAGUCGUACACCUGAAAGAAAAAAAUAAAAGAAUGACGCUGGGAGAGGUAUCAGUGGAACAGACUCCUAGAAGACAACGAGAAUGGUGGGAUUCUGAAGUGGCAGGGGCCAUAUGAUGCAAGUAA